rnacentral:rRNA from 1 species
AACGAACGCUGGCGGCAUGCCUAACACAUGCAAGUCGAACGAACCCUUCGGGGUUAGUGGCGCACGGGUGCGUAACGCGUGGGAAUCUGCCCUUUGCUUCGGAAUAACAGUUAGAAAUGACUGCUAAUACCGGAUGAUGUCGCAAGACCAAAGAUUUAUCGGCAAAGGAUGAGCCCGCGUAGGAUUAGCUUGUUGGUGAGGUAAAAGCUCACCAAGGCGACGAUCCUUAGCUGGUCUGAGAGGAUGAUCAGCCACACUGGGACUGAGACACGGCCCAGACUCCUACGGGAGGCAGCAGUGGGGAAUAUUGGACAAUGGGCGAAAGCCUGAUCCAGCAAUGCCGCGUGAGUGAUGAAGGCCUUAGGGUUGUAAAGCUCUUUUACCCGGGAUGAUAAUGACAGUACCGGGAGAAUAAGCUCCGGCUAACUCCGUGCCAGCCGCCGCGGUAAUAC